rnacentral:lncRNA from 1 species
CGCAACAGAGUGAUCAAAUUCUCACUGAACAUUCAAACACAUACUUGAUUAAUUCAAUAUGAAACAAAUAAUCACAACUUAACAAAGCCCUAAAUCCCAACUGCUUGGGUAGAUUGACCAAAUUCCUUUGCAAAUCAAUUGUAUCUAGGUUUAUACCAUUCACUAAAUCAUUGGAAAUAGCAAAUCAAUUGUACGUACCGUUUAUGUUUCCAUGGUAAAACUAGAGAAUGUUUAUUCCAUCCAAAUCUUUUUUAUAUAUAAUUGUACAAGAUAAUGUUCCUAGAUAAUUAAUUAUAUAGAAAUACUAGCUUGACCAGUGAACAAGAAUGAAAUCCUAGAAUUCAAAUUGUCAACAAUAGCAUUGACAGGUUAAAAGCAUUCAAAGAGAAACCCUAGCCCUCUAUUUGGUUUCCACACAAAUAGAGCAAUAAAAGACAACUUAUUUCUCAUCUUUUACUUCCAAAAAAGAAAAAGGGAAAAGCCCUUCGUACUGUGAAUUUUAAGUAAAGUGGCAUGUUUCUGCAUUCCCGAAUCAUCAUUGAUGAAAAUUUUAUGAUUCAAAUCAUUGUUGGUGAAAAUUUUUCAAUUCAAAAUUCUAAUUGUUUUUUUCAUGUUUUCUUAGUAUCUAAACUAAAUAUAUUUUCAUCCAAGAAAACUAUCUAUUUUUAUACAAGCAAGCAUUUCCACUUAGCAAAUACCGUUAAUCUAACAAAAAUCUAGCCGUAAUCUAGACUGGCAAUAGUUCCACGGCUGUUCAAAGAGAAACCCUAGAAUCGAAAACUUCCAGCAAUAGCAUAUCCAACCUAUAAAGCACUCAGAGUGAAAUCCGACCCUCUGUUUGGUUACCAAGAAAAAUAAAACAAAACCACAUUUUGAUUUCUUUGUUUUCUCUCUCACUUUCUUUGCUUCCAAAAAUCCAACAAUAAAAAAUUUAAAAUUUAAAAAAUUAGAUCAACUAAGCCAAAGAGUCUUAUCAGUUUUAGGUAAAGUGCAAUCUUCUGUAUUCUCUAACCCUAGAUGGCAAAAUUUUCUUGCAUUUUCUCAUUAUUUCGAUUGUAUCCAACGGAGAAGCUGAUUGAAUGAAUUGGGAGUAGAGAUCGUAACAGUACCUUGAACUCAGAGAUCGAUCGAAACGCAGCCUUUGGAGAAGUGACAAUUGACCCUUUUUGCGUACCGACAACCGAGAGAUUGAAUGCUUCUCUGUAAACAGUUAUCGGAUCCCCUCAACUCAGAUAUCGCCCGAAACGCAGCGUUUGGAGAAGGGACGAUAGGAAUCAUAGGACGCCUACGGAGUUCAGUCGGGUAAUAAUGGGCUGGUCAUGGGCCGGCCCAAUAUCUCUCGAUCAAAUUUUACUGCCUACAUAGUUUGAUCUGAAUGAAAGCUAACUCAACUUCAUCCCCUACUUAAUUUAUUUUAGAUUUUCAAUCCAUACUCAAUUUAAUCAUGUU